rnacentral:hammerhead_ribozyme from 1 species
AUUGGGCUGACGAGUCUCAAAUAGGAUGAAAUGCGCAUCCUGGAU